rnacentral:rRNA from 1 species
UACAUGUGGGGCAAGCGUUGUUCGGAAUUACUGGGCAUAAAGGGUGCGUAGGUGGCUUGUUAAGUCAGGGGUGAAAUCCCACGGCCCAACCGUGGAACUGCCUUUGAUACUGGCGAGCUCGAGUGCGUGAGGGGUGAUCGGAACGAGUAGUGUAGCGGUGAAAUGCGUAGAUAUUACUCGGAAGGCCAACGGCGAAGGCAGAUCACUGGUACGCAACUGACACUGAGGCACGAAAGCGUGGGGAGCAAACAGG